GACGAACGCUGGCGGCGCGCUUAACACAUGCAAGUCGAACGGAAAGGCCUGCUUUCCCUUGUGGAUUGCGGGUACUCGAGUGGCGAACGGGUGAGUAACACGUGAGUGAUCUGCCCCCAACUUGGGUAUAAGCCUGGGAAACUGGGUCUAAUUCCCGAUAGGACUGCAGGGUGGUGCCUGUGGUGGAAAACGAUUUUCUAGUGGUUGGGGAUGAGCUCGCGGCCUAUCAGCUUGUUGGUGGGGUAAUGGCCUACCAAGGCGGCGACGGGUAGCCGGCCUGAGAGGGUGGACGGCCACAUUGGGACUGAGAUACGGCCCAGACUCCUACGGGAGGCAGCAGUGGGGAAUAGUGCACAAGGGGCGGAAGCCUGAUGCAGCGACGCCGCGUGGGGGAUGACGGCCUUCGGGUUGUAAACUCCUUUCGACCGCGAGGAAGCCACCUGGUUGGAAGGGUGGUGACGGUAGUGGUAGAAGAAGCACCGGCUAACUACGUG
rnacentral:rRNA from 1 species